CUGCACUGAAACAGAAAGAAGAUGAACUAGAAUCAGUUAAUAAAAGACUGGCUGAAACAGAGACUACUCAUGAAAAGAAAAUCCAGAUGAUGAGG